CCCUUAGAUGUCCGGGGCCGCACGCGCGCUACACUGAAGGAAUCAGCGUGGCUUUCUCCCUGACCCGAAAGGGUUGGGAAACCCGUUGAAUCUCCUUCGUGAUAGGGAUUGGGGCUUGAAAUUGUUCCCCAUGAACGAGGAAUUCCCAGUAAGCGCGAGUCAUAAGCUCGCGUUGAUUACGUCCCUGCCCUUUGUACACACCGCCCGUCGCUACUACCGAUUGGAUGGUCCGGUGAAGCCUCGGGAUUGUGGUUCUUGCCGCUUUAUUGUGGCGUGACCGCGAGAACUUGUCUAAACCUUAUCAUCUAGAGGAAGGUGAAGUCGUAACA
rnacentral:rRNA from 1 species